rnacentral:rRNA from 1 species
AACUCUGGGUGGUGUAUGACUUGGCUUGUGUGUCUACUAAGAAUACAGCUAGCUGUGGGAGUUAUGAAUGGCAGGACACAUUUAUCACUGACAGUCAGAAUGCACUUUUGAGCCUUGGUUCCUCACAUGGCUAUUCCUGUCUGAGCAUUG